AGGCUUAACCUUGGAACUGCCAUCAAAACUUUUUAGCUAGAGUGUGAUAGAGGUAAGUGGAAUUUCUAGUGUAGAGGUGAAAUUCGUAGAUAUUAGAAAGAACACCAAAUGCGAAGGCAACUUACUGGGUCACUACUGACACUGAGGAGCGAAAGCAUGGGUAGCGAAGAGGAUUAGAUACCCUCGUAGUCCAUGCCGUAAACGAUGUGUGCUAGACGUUGGAAAUUUAUUUUCAGUGUCGCAGCGAAAGCAGUAAACACACCGCCUGGGGAGUACGACCGCAAGGUUAAAACUCAAAUGAAUUGACGGGGACCCGCACAAGUAGUGGAGCAUGUGGUUUAAUUCGAAGAUACGCGCAGAACCUUACCAACACUUGACAUGUUCGUCGCGACUCUAAGAGAUUAGAGUUUUCGGUUCGGCCGGACGAAACACAGGUGCUGCAUGGCUGUCGUCAGCUCGUGUCAUGAGAUGUUGGGUUAAGUCCCGCAACGAGCGCAACCCUCACUUUUAGUUGCCAUCAUUUAGUUGGGCACUCUGAAAGAACUGCCAGUGAUAAGCUGGAGGAAGGUGGGGAUGACGUCAAGUCCUCAUGGCCCUUACGUGUUGGGCUACACACGUGCUACAAUGGUAUCUACAACAGGAAGCAAAACAGCGAUGUUAAGCAAAUCCUUAAAAGAUACCUCAGUUCGGAUUGCACUCUGCAACUCGAGUGCAUGAAGCUGGAAUUACUAGUAAUCGUGGAUCAGCGUGCCACGGUGAAUGCGUUCCCGGGUCUUGUACACACCGCCCGUCACACCAUGGGAGUUGGUUCUACCUUAAGGCAAGGUUUAAUACCCUUGACCACGGUAUAGUCAGCGACUGGGGUGAAGUCGUAACAAGGUAACC
rnacentral:rRNA from 1 species